UACGUAGGUGGCGAGCGUUGUCCGGAAUUACUGGGUGUAAAGAGCGUGUAGGUGGAAGACCAAGUCUGCCGUGAAGGUGCCCGGCUCAACUGGGCAAGGUCGGUGGAAACUGGUCAUCUUGAGGACGGUAGGGGCGCCUGGAAUUCCCGGUGUAGUGGUGAAAUGCGUAGAGAUCGGGAGGAACACCAGUAGCGAAGGCGGGGCGCUGGGCCGGACCUGACGCUGAGGAGCGAAAGCGUGGGGAGCGAACAGG
rnacentral:rRNA from 1 species